AUGCCGCGUGCUGUUGCUGGGGCCUGGGUGUGGGCGCUCGCUGCAGCGCAGCCAGUGUUCACGAGCCCCGCACCCCCUCCUUUCCUCCUCCUCCUCCUUUCUCCUCGUCAGCCAAUCCGCCUUCUCGCUGCUUCUUCUCCUCCACCGCCUUGUCUCCGGCCGCCGGCCUCCCAGGCGCCCCACCUCACAACGAUGUUUCCCGAGGAGCAACGCGAGCGAGGCCACGCAGAUCGCCGUCGCGGGAUAUCAGGGGGCGGCGGGUUCUUCACAUCGGCGGCUGGCGAGCAGGGGAGGGUCAGGAGGCUGACAAGGCGUGCUAACGAGCAGCAAGGUUGGCGGUGGGGAAGCGGCUGCCCGGAGCUCCAAGCUGCGCACACCUCGCGGGGUCUUGUCUCACCAGGCACUCGAUGUGGCGGCAUACCGAGCGCCAUAGGCGGCUCGUACGGCGGUCCAGCGGAAAGUGGCCUCAGCGGGUGGGCGACGACGACCGCAGCUGGUGCACGAGCUCGCACUCAACCCGUCCAUACUCAACUCGUCUCGGUGCGGACUGAAAGUUGGACGCUCUGUGCCAGCAUAUGGAAGUGCUGCGACCACUGUUGUUCCGUCUGUGAGUGGUCCUUGAUUGCAACUGGUGUCAUCCUGUUCUUACUCGCAAUUGCUCUUGCAAGUGAAUUUUCAUUACGUGAUUUGAGGAGGAUGCGCGGUCUUCAGACUCUGAGAUUUCUGGUUUUUUCAUUUGAUCAUUUCUGCAGAGAUUGUCUUUCUGUGCAUUAUUUGGUAACCAUCUACUACAGAUCAGCUACUGCCCUGCUGUGCCCUUAUGGACCCUUCACCACUACAUCAUACAGCAACAGACACUAUGGAUCUACUUCUGCUACUGAUCUCGCUUCUUAUGCUUGGGCGUGCGUGUGUAUUUGCCAUGAAUUGCUUACCCAUUAUGCUCGUUCUGAUGCACACAGGUCACUGGAGGAGAGCGAAUCUCACUUGAAUUUUGCCGAUGCGGCCACGAUGGUGAUGCUUAACUCUGUGGAGAUACCAAAGAUUGAUUCUUCGGAUGGUGAGGGUUUUGAUUUGUGUGCUCAAAUAAAUUUGCAUUAUUGGUUCGAUCCAUGCGGAGGUCCUCGGCGUCGUUGCAGCGGCGGGACAAGCGAUGAGCUGCAGAUGCGCACAUGCGUUGUCGCCGAAGGCCGAUGUCUGGGGAAAGUGAAGAGGAGCGCUGGGUCUGCUCGCCUGCCUCCUCGCAGCGACCGGCUAAGGUUGGUUCCACUUCCAUCCAACUUUGCUCAGCUAGAACUUGCCGGUGGAGAGCUUCGAUGGCAGCAUCAACUGGAUCUGGUUGGCCCACGUCCACGCUCCUCCUUCGUCCCUGCACUCCUUGUAUCCGAUAGAGGCGGAGCUGACUGCAUGCAUGGAGGGAAUCGACCUGAUACUGAUUCCGAAGUGGCUGCCAAUAUGAUCCAGCAACUGGAGGUUGAUCGGUCCCCGACGACAUCUACUAUUGGCGAGAUUAAAAGUCUUCUUGCGCAAGAUAGACUGUACUCCAUUCAAACAGUUCGCCUUGCUGGAAACAGUGUUGCUCAUCGUCUAGCUCAAAUAGGUCACCAUAACAUACGAACAGUUCGGUUGAGGUCUGAUCCUGAUGAGAUUGAUUUGCUGUACCGUAACAAUUGUAAUCCCCAAGGUUAA
rnacentral:rRNA from 1 species